rnacentral:rRNA from 1 species
AUGGCUCUCGCCGGCGGCGCCGCCACCGCAGCGUGCAUCCUCGUCCUCCUCGCGCUCGCCGACGCCGCGGGGGCGGCUAACCCGUCGCCGGCGCCCGCGCCGGCGCCGGACUGCACGGAGGCGUUGAUUGGCCUCGCGGACUGCCUCGACUAUGUGAUGCCCGGCAGCAAGUCGGCUCGGCCUCCCAAGGCCUGCUGCACGGAGGUGAAGACCGCCGUCGGCACCCCCGCCACCGUGAAGUGCCUCUGCGCUGCCCUGGACGCCAAGACAACUCCGAUACCGAUCAACAUGACACGGGUGCUCGCCCUCCCCACCGCCUGCGGCCAGUCCGCCUCCGUCUUGAGCAAGUGCCACGGUGAGCACCGUGCCUUUCCUCACCUUUUCCAGGACCUUCUUGUCCUGGGUCUGGCUAGAAUCCGCUCCCAUUUUUUUUUUACACCAAGGAACUAG